AUAAAUCUAGUUUAUAAAAACAACAAUUUGUGGAAUUGUAAUAUCUAAAAUUUCAAAAUUUU
rnacentral:tRNA from 1 species